rnacentral:rRNA from 1 species
UACGGGGGGGGCAAGCGUUGUUCGGAAUUACUGGGCGUAAAGGGCUCGUAGGCGGCCAACUAAGUCAGACGUGAAAUCCCCAGGCUCAACCUGGGAACUGCGUCUGAUACUGGAUGGCUUGAAUCCGGGAGAGGGAUGCAGAAUUCCAGGUGUAGCGGUGAAAUGCGUAGAUAUCUGGAGGAACACCGGUGGCGAAGGCGGCAUCCUGGACCAACACUGACACUGAUGAGCGAAAGCCAGGGGAGCAAACGGG